UACGGGGGGGGCAAGCGUUGUUCGGAAUUACUGGGCGUAAAGGGCUCGUAGGCGGCCAACUAAGUCGGAUGUGAAAUCCCCAAGCUUAACUUGGGAACUGCAUCCGAUACUGGAUGGCUUGAAUCCGGGAGAGGGAUGCAGAAUUCCAGGUGUAGCGGUGAAAUGCGUAGAUAUCUGGAGGAAUACCGGUGGCGAAGGCAGCAUCCUGGACCGGCAUUGACGCUGAGGAGCGAAAGCUAGGGGAGCAAACGGG
rnacentral:rRNA from 1 species